AGCUCCCUGUGGUGUUCGCCAGUAGGUUAUGUCCCUGGCCGAUGCUUACAAACCAAGGGAUCACUGCUCGUUGCUAUUGUGCAGGCUCGGCUCGAACCGAGAAGCCUACGGUGACACCAGCGAUUCCGCCCUGAACCUACGGUUCAUGGGCUUACGCCUGACAGCGGCAUCUACGGGGAAACU
rnacentral:other from 1 species